rnacentral:lncRNA from 1 species
GAUAAGUGAUAUAUCUCAUAUAUUAUAUAUUAUAUAUUAAUACAAAUACACACACCAAACCCCGUAGGAUUGAUGCUUUACACACAAAUAAAAAUCAAUUUACUUUUAUUAUAACAAAGAAAAGAUACACAUAUAAAAGAUAAAUAACAAAGCAGCUACUAUUUUAUCAUUAUGACCUAUGCCACUCCAGAAAACUCUAUUUGCGUCCCUUGGACACAUGAGAAGGUAUACUUUGUUCAUUUCUGAAGAAAUUUAGAGGAUCAACUUUAGUCUUAACUUUUGCCAACCUUUUGAAGUUAUUUUUGAAGUACUUAACACCCCAAAUACUAGCUUCCUUAUAGCUUGUGUACCCAUUAAUGUUAUUCACACCAAUAUCAAGGUCUCUGUAAUUAAUAUAUGCAGCUCUCGGAGACUUUGUAACAAAAGGUUCCAUAUAACUAUACAGUUUUCUAAUCCAAUUAAUGUGCAGUGUUUCCACCUCAUCACCUUCUUGAUGCCAAUGAACCGAGUAUUGAAUCAUGAAUAAGUUUCCACUUCUAUGAGGAAAUGGAAUUUCAGACUCUGAAAUAGUAUCCAUUUUGCCACCAUAUGGAAACCAUAUCAUCAUUGCAUCUUUGGAACCCUCUUCAUCAAAUAAAGGCCAUAUGCCUUCUAAUCCAGUUUCAGGAAUUGGAAUUCUCACAAAAUCAGAUUUUGCUUUGAAUAUAUCAAGUGUAGCUUGUGUUCUGUUAAGCAACACUUCAGGUGUAGAACCUUUUGGAAACUGAAAAAAGUAAAGAACAGAUUCAAUCCAACUCAUUUCAAUACAAUAUUCUCUAACCAAACCAAGCUCAGGAAACUUCUCUUGAACCAAGGGUAUGAGUUUAUCUACACCUCCAAGAAACAAAGCUUGAAAUAAAACUAGUACCGGUGACUUUGACUCACCUUUUUUACUUGAAUUUAAAUUUACCCUUUGCCAGACAAUAUUCAUGGCUAUAUUUUCAUCAAGUUUACUUGCCAAAAAUUGCCACUUGUGAACAAGCUUUGUUGCAUUUUGUUCCAAUGUUUUUGGAACAGUAAACACUGUCACAAUUGAUGGAACUUCAACAAGUUUAAUCUUCCAUGAAACUAUGACACCAAAACUUGCUCCUCCACCACCUCUAAUAGCCCAAAAGAAAUCCUCACCCAUUGCUUCUCUGUCAAGAAACCUACCCUUCACAUCAAUUAUGUAGGCAUCAAUGAUGUUAUCGGCUGCAAGACCGUAUUUACGCAACAAGGUUCCAUAUCCACCACCACUGAAGUGUCCCCCAACACCUACAGUAGGACAAACACUUGCAGGGAAACCAAGAGUUUUGCUUUUUUGGCUAAUUGCGUAGUAAAGUUCACCAAGUGUUGCACCAGAUUGAACCCAUGCAGUUUUUUUGUGUACAUUUAUUUCAAUUUCUCUGAAGUUUAUGAGAUCAAUGACAACAAAUGGAACUUCAGAGACAUAAGACAGACCCUCAAAGUCGUGACCGCCGCUGCGAAUUCGAAUCUGCAGGCUGUGGUAUUGGGAACAAAUUACGGUUGCUUGAAUAUGGGAAAUUUCUAGAGGUGUGACAAUUACAAGUGGUUUUGGUGUUUUGUUGGUUGCAAAUCUGAGAUUUUGAGUUGAAAAUUGGAGUAUUGAUGUGUAUGAUGAAUUGGCUUUGGUGUACACAACUUUAGAGAUUGAAGUGGAGUUAUGUGAAUAGCUAUAGAGACAUUGAAGGAAGCUAUUAUCUUCAUUAGUAGUAGUAGUAGUACCAAUUGCUGAAGAUGUAAAUGAAAAUAAAAUAGCAAUUAGUACAAUAGACAAGUAUGAGCCUAGAUGCAUCAUUUUUUUGUUAGUGUAGUGUUGUGCAUAAGAUGCUUCAAAUUUAUAAGUGUCACUCUAUGCUCUAAUUUUUAUUGGUAUAUAGAAUAAUUUGGAG